CUGUGAGACGGGGCCAACAGCAUACAGUCAAGUCUUAAAACGAAUUUGAAAGCUUGGUGUUGAGUGAUGAUCAGAAUUUGGUGUGUUACCCUUGGUUUUAUGCUGGUUUCCUUCUUCCCUUUUUUGUUAUAUAGAUUUAUUCUUUAUAUAUAUCAUUAAAAACCUGACUCCAUUUAAAGGUGUGUGAUGCAAGGGAGAGUCCUGUACAAUAAAACUGGACAGGUUUGACCUGCCGCCUCCCUCAGGCUGGCUGCUAAGGGCUCAGCACGAGGGGUUAUCUGUGGUGUGAGGGUCUGCACCAGGCAGGCGGGCCCUGGCCGGGGUCUCAGGGCACGCAGCCCUCUGCUUAUCUUUCCUUUAGUUUUUUUAAUACCAGGGGCAAGUUUUGAUGAAUGUAGGUCAUGCAUUUCUGAAAUCCAGUUGCUAGCUUUUUUGACUGGGUUGAUAACAUUAGCAAAUGCAAUGUUUUAAAAACCUUUUUCUCACAGAGAAAGAAACCCUGUUGUGACCGCUCAGAACUGUGACAGAAUAGAUGUCCGGCUGAAUAAUUUAAACUAUAUGUGGCAUUUGAAAAGUUAUUGCAAAUUAGCUUUAACAAAUCAAUAGUUGUUAAAUGAAGGGGUAAAUACAUUUUAUUUUGCAUAAGCUCAGGUGUCAUGUCUCUUGCAUGACACUGUUGUGGAUUUGUAAAAUGUGUUUUACCAAGUUGCAUUAAUUACAACUACUAAUUUUUAUAAUUUCAUAUUUGGUGGUAAUUUUUUUUUAAUAAAUAGGAAAGAAAAACAUGCCUGUUACUCUGCUUUCCCCACCAGACUGUAGGCUCUCUAAGGCAAAGCAGGCUUGUCUUUCCUGAUGCCCAGCACCUCAGAGCGGCUCUCACAGGCACUCAGAGUCCUCAGGGAAUGACAGUUAUAAGCACAUGUUUCCUUCUCGGUUCUGUAGUGCCUCUGGGAACAGCACCAGGUCUCUCUUUUUCUGUGGUUUUCACCAUAUCAAACUCACUACUCCCCUCCUUUAUGUUUUUU